UUCUGUACAAUAAGAGAUGAGGUGUAAAGGUGCUCUGUGUUCGAGGCGGGCGUUGCCGAAUUACCAUUGAGUGGGUAAUCACAGAAGGUGAAAAUCCUGUGCGGUGUCGCUGUAGCCUUGAACCGGGGUACUAGAGAGUCUAGUUGUUUGAGAGUACAACUUAAAGCUGGUGGUAAAUUUCAUCAAAGGCUAAAUAUACUAAGGGACUAAUAGCGAACAAGUACCAUGAGGGAAAGUUGAAAAGAACUCUGACGAGAGAGUUCAACAGUACGUGAAACCAUAAUGAGUAAAACAGAUAACUGUGUUGUUAUGUGGUGUGCCCUUCAACAGUGCAUUGGGUGUUGUGAAACUGCGAGUGGAUGCUGUUUUUUCAGUGGUCCGCUUGCGGUUAGCAUAACUCAAGAUCCUGUGGAUUUGUGCACACUCGAUCAUUGAGAAACUAUGCUGCUGCGGCAUUGGUGUACUUCAGCUCGUACCUAGUGCGAAGUUGUACGCUAGGCGCAUCUGCUAGUGGCGUAGUUUGGCUGUGUGACAGCUGUGGGAUACGUUUGCUGACUUUCUGUGCCUGCUUUGUCUGCGGAUCGGUUUAUUCCUUUCUGCGGUGAGUAUGGUACGGUAGGCAAGUGUUCCGACAUCAAUGGUUAACAUUAGUUAUUUGACCCGUCUUGAAACACGGACCAAGGAGUUCAAAUGGCACGCGAGUCAUUGGGUUUAAACACCCGAAGGCGAAGUGAAAUGCAAACGUAUUGUUAUUUGUGGUUAAGCCAUGAUUAAGCGAUAAGCUACUCAUGCUUUCAGGCAUUUGUAGACUAAAAGCGUGAUGUUUGAGACCCGAAAGAUGGUGACCUAUGCCUAGUCAAGAUGAAGCCAGAGGAAACUCUGGUGGAUGUCUGAAGUUAUUCUGACGUGCAAAUCGAUAAUCUGAUCUGGGUAUAGGGGCGAAAGACUAAUCGAACCAUCUAGUAGCUGGUUCCUUCCGAAGUUUCCCUCAGGAUAGCAAGCGUACGUGUUUAGUUUCAUCCCGUAAAGCGAAUGAUUAGAGGCCUUGGGGCAUAUGUAGCCUCAACCUAUUCUCAAACUUUUAAUGGGUGUGAGUGUUCUUUCUUAAUUGAAGAACGCUGCCAAAUAAGUAUGCUUAGUGGGCCAUUUUUGGUAAGCAGAACUGGCGCUGUGGGUUGAACCAAAUGUUGAGUUAAAGUGCCUAAAGCUUGAAUGCGCAUUAGAUCCCUAAAGGGUGUUAGUUGCUAAAGACAGCAGG
rnacentral:rRNA from 1 species